UCCUCCUUUCCGGCGUCCCUGAGGGGACCAAAUUCAGCUGCAGCGUCUUUGUCAGGGACCUGGCUGUCUGUGACCCCAUGUCCCAGCGCUACAUCCUGCUACCUCCCAUCCCCGACGACCUAGCCGCCUUGGUGCAGCCACCGGACAUGCUGGGUUUCGAGCCCUUCCUUACUUCUCCGGCAGCCGAGGAUGAGGACGGCAUGUCUUUCAGAGUUAUUUGCUUGGCGCAUUGCACAAACAAGCUGGUCCUCCUCAUCUUCUCUUCAAGUGGUGGACAGUGGCAUGCUGUUACACUUGAAAAUUGGAUCGGUUUCCUUACAGGAUCGGACAACCCGGCUUCAGGCAAUCAUCAAGACUUGUACUGGCCGCCGCGAAUGCGCCAAUAUGCACACGGAUAUUUCUGUUGGGCAUUUUACGCAAAGGGAUCCAUGUAUCCGGUGAGCAAGUUGUUGAUGCUCGACACACGGAGCAUGGGUUUCUCUGCUGUCGACCUUCCGCCUCUCACUGAUCACACACGGGUUAUCAUUCUGGAGGCAAAGAAUGGAAGGAUUGGGAUGUAUAUGAAUGAGAAUUUGACAGCUGAACUAAGGUAUUAUGUGUUGCAAAACGAUGGAGUUGGUGCAAACCAGUGGCUGCCAGAGGAAACGUUCAAUUUAAAGGAUCGCUAUAUGCUCAUUGGCGUAGCGGGGGGAUACUUACUUCUACAAGGGCUUCGACAAGACCAAUAUCCUUUUUUUUUUGGUUUCAUUGGAUCUGAAGACUUUGGAGCUUCAGUGGUUCCUUGCAUCAAGGCACACCAACGUGGGUGCUCGUUUGUUUGCCAGUUUCCCACCAUCAUUGUCUCCCCCAACUCUUCGACAUGAUAUCUGAUAUUGAUGCCGCUGGGAGAUGAAACCUUGACGUCUGGAGGUAUGGAGCAGCAACUUGGAGCAUUAUGUACUGGAUGGAAUCAUCAGGCUUUCCUUUUGAGAUUGGACGCAGGCUUGUUUGGGGUGCUGACUGCUGUGCAGCUCGGUGCUUAUUUUCAGAUAUGUCAUGGGAGAAUAGUUGUGAUAAUCUACCAAAUUAGAUUCACAAAUCAAAUAUUACUAGACAAUUUCUAUUUUUGGAACCUUUGUUCCUAUCAGAUAUGCAGUGUGACUAGAAACAGGGUGAUAUAUACCAUCUUCUUUGUUUU